rnacentral:rRNA from 1 species
GACGAACGCUGGCGGCGUGCUUAACACAUGCAAGUCGAGCGGUAAAGGCCCUUUCGGGGUACACGAGCGGCGAACGGGUGAGUAACACGUGGGUGACCUGCCCUCACGCUCUGGGAGUAAAGCCUGGGAAACCGGGUCUAAUACUCGGAUAUGACUCCAUGACGCAUGUUGUGGGGUGGUAAAGCCUUGUGCGGCGUGAGGAUGGGCCCGCGGCCUAUCAGCUUGUUGGUGGGGU